GGUUGCUGGAGGAGGUGAUGGCGGUCGGUCGGUCGGUGUGUGUGUGUGUUGUGCAGUAGAAGUCUAUGUGGACAUGUUUGUGUGUAUGUGUGUGUGCUGCAGGAGUCUACAUGGACAUGGCUGUGUGUGUGUGUGUGUGCUGCAGGAGUCUAUGUAGACAUAGCUGUAUGUGCUGCAGGCGCCGGCAGACUGUGGUUGUAGCUCAGCUAACUCUUGGUUAAGUCCCUAAUUGCGCUAUUACGCACUGGGUGGAUCUGUUCCAUUGGAUGGAGCAGUCAGCCAUCAGUAACACCCUAACUCGCUCAACUCCUUUCACAGAUGCCUAGGCAAAAUGCUGAAAACACAAAACAACAAAUGACUCAAACAGAAAAGCACGGCGGCAUUGUACCUGUUGAUAAACAGCAUCAAAACAACAACAGAUUUCAGCGUCUUGCAUAUUUCUCCUUGUCCCCAGGACUUGAAUUCACCAUAUUGCCUGUCAGAGAACAUUUUAAAGCAAUGAUUGACGGUCACAGACUCUUGAUCGUCCUGUUUUUUAGUACCCGGCCACUUAAAAAAAAUAAGACAAUCAAUUUCUUUUCAACGGCACUGUCUGGCUUUGGGGGAGAAGGUGAACGAGGUUUCCGCGCCGAAGCUGCCCCGGGGUGAUGUCUAAAGGCAGAAUUUGCGUUUGUUUUCUGUACAGUUACAGUUCAUGUGGGUCCGCUCAACUCUUGUAACCAUUACAUCCUUGCUUCAAACAUGGACAAAACCGCUGAUCUCUAGAGGUGACAUCAAGGAGCUUGGACCAGGGUCCUGCUGGGAAAGGUCUAUCAUUCGAAAACCAGGAAUUUCCAGGAACUAGGAACAGGGUGUAAUCUUAUAGAGUUCUGAGUGAGCCAGACAGGUCCAAAUGGAGUUGGAGGCCAUGCUCGAUGAGGACAUCAUGGAACCAAGCCAGAGUGAGUGGAGUUCGCGAUCGUCUUAGUUCCCAAACCAGAUGGGACUCAAUGAUUCUGCGUGCAUUAUCGGAAGGUUAACACCAUUACAAAACUGGACUCAUGUCCAAUUCCUAGAUUGGAGAACUGUAUGGAGAAAGUUACACAAGCCAGUUACAUCACCAAGUUGGACGUAAUGCGUGGUUACUGUCAGGUACCUUUAGAGAUAGCAAAAAAACAUUUUUGCUUUUGUAACCACGAAUGGGCUAUGUCAGUUUAAAGUGCUGCCCUUUGGAACGAAGAAUGCACCCACCACAUUCCAAAGCCUCGCGAACAGAAUUGUGGCUGGAUUAACAAACUGCACAGUGUAUUUGGACAAUGUAGUGAUCUUUAGUAAGUCCUGGAAAGAACACAUGGUACAGUUGGCGUAGCUCUUUGGAUGACUAUGAGGAGCAAAACUGGUGAAAAACCUAAAGAAAACUGAAUUUGCAGAAGCAGAUGUGACGUUCUUGGGACAUAGCAUCAGUCAUGGAAGGUUGACCCAUGGAACGCAAAGACAAAGACCAUCGAGGAAUUUCCAUGACCAACCUUGAAGAAAGAGCUGCUUUGGUUCUUAGGACUCAGCAGAUUCUAUCGGAAGUUUGUUCCAAACUUCAGCAGUGUAGUGUCACCGUUAACCGAUUUCCUGAAGAAGAACAAAAGUUUCGGUGGACAGAACAAUGCCAGGAGGCAUUCGACCAUUUGAAAUCAAUAUUAACCACCAAACCAGGUUUAGCUGCAUCAAACUUUUCAAAACCUUUUAAAGUUGUAAUCGAUGCUAGAGACAUAGGAGUUGGUGCUGUACUCCUACAGGAAAAUGAGGAAGAGAUUGAACUGCCAGUUGAGAGCCUGGUGCUGGAAAAGCACAGCAGGUCUGGCAGCAUUUGAGGAGCAGGAAAAUUGAUAUUUUGGGCAAAAGCCCUUCAUCAGGAGGGCUGGCAUGCUGUCCUCUUCCAGCACCACUCUCAACUCAUCUCCAGCAUCUGCUGUCCUCACUUUUACCUAGUUGAACUGCCAGUUGGUUACUUUUUGAAGAAGAUCAACAUCCAUCAGAGGAAAUACUCCCUCUGAUCAAAAAAGAACUAUUGAGUUUGGUACUGGCUUUACAACAUUUUAAUGUGUAUGUCACGAACAAUGUGUCGUAGAUGAUGAUGUACAUGGAUUACAAUCUUCUUAAAAUACUUUUAAAGAUGAGAAUGAGACUACAUCAUUGGAGUCUCAUGUUACCGACUUUUAAUUUGAAAAUUGUGCGUGUUGCGGGUCUUAAGAACAUAAUUGCAGAAGCGCUAUCGUGGAUUUAACUGAUAAAGUUUA